GCCUGGGUAGCUCAAUUGGUUAAGCAUCUGACUUUUUAUUUCAGUUCAGGUCAUGAUCUCACGGUUCAUGGGAUCGAGUUCCAUGUCAGGCA
rnacentral:tRNA from 1 species